rnacentral:rRNA from 1 species
AUUGAACGCUGGCGGCAGGCCUAACACAUGCAAGUCGAACGGUAACAGGAAGCAGCUUGCUGCUUUGCUGACGAGUGGCGGACGGGUGAGUAAUGUCUGGGAAACUGCCUGAUGGAGGGGGAUAACUACUGGAAACGGUAGCUAAUACCGCAUAACGUCGCAAGACCAAAGAGGGGGACCUUAUGGCCUCUUGCCAUCGGAUGUGCCCAGAUGGGAUUAGCUAGUAGGUGGGGUAACGGCUCACCUAGGCGACGAUCCCUAGCUGGUCUGAGAGGAUGACCAGCCACACUGGAACUGAGACACGGUCCAGACUCCUACGGGAGGCAGCAGUGGGGAAUAUUGCACAAUGGGCGCAAGCCUGAUGCAGCCAUGCCGCGUGUGUGAAGAAGGCCUUCGGGUUGUAAAGUACUUUCAGCGGGGAGGAAGGGAGUAAAGUUAAUACCUUUGCUCAUUGACGUUACCCGCAGAAGAAGCACCGGCUAACUCCGUG